AAAAAGCGGAGGAAAAGAAACCAACAGGGAUUGCCUUAGUAGCGGCGAGUGAAGCGGCAAAAGCUCAAAUUUGAAAUCUGGCUCUUUCAGAGUCCGAGUUGUAAUUUGAAGAAGGUAUCUUUGGGUCUGGCUCUUGUCUAUGUUUCUUGGAACAGAACGUCACAGAGGGUGAGAAUCCCGUGCGAUGAGAUGAUCCAGGCCUAUGUAAAGUUCCUUCGAAGAGUCGAGUUGUUUGGGAAUGCAGCUCUAAGUGGGUGGUAAAUUCCAUCUAAAGCUAAAUAUUGGCGAGAGACCGAUAGCGAACAAGUACAGUGAUGGAAAGAUGAAAAGAACUUUGAAAAGAGAGUGAAAAAGUACGUGAAAUUGUUGAAAGGGAAGGGCUUGAGAUCAGACUUGGUAUUUUGUAUGUUACUUCUUCGGGGGUGGCCUCUACAGUUUAUCGGGCCAGCAUCAGUUUGGGCGGUAGGAGAAUUGCGUUGGAAUGUGGCACGGCUUCGGUUGUGUGUUAUAGCCUUCGUCGAUACUGCCAGCCUAGACUGAGGACUGCGGUUAUA
rnacentral:rRNA from 1 species